CAUAGUGUAUCCGAGCGGUUAAGGAGAUUGACUUGAAAUCAAAUGUGCUCCGCCCGCAUAGGUUCGAAACCUGUUUCUGAGC
rfam:Angiostrongylus costaricensis strain Costa Rica genome assembly, scaffold: ACOC_contig0003203